UACAGAGGGGGCAAGCGUUAUUCGGAAUUAUUGGGCGUAAAGGGCGCGUAGGCGGCCUGGCAAGUGGAAGGUGAAAUCCCUCGGCUUAACCGAGGAACUGCCCUCCAAACUGCUUGGCUUGAGUCCGGGAGAGGUGAGUGGAAUUCCCAGUGUAGCGGUGAAAUGCGUAGAUAUUGGGAGGAACACCGAUUGCGAAGGCAGCUCGCUGGGACGUAACUGACGCUGAGACGCGAAAGCGUGGGGAGCAAACAGG
rnacentral:rRNA from 1 species